GAUGAACGCUAGUGGCAGGCCUAAUACAUGCAAGUCGAACGGUGUCUUCGGACAUAGUGGCGCACGGGUGCGUAACACGUAUGCAACCUACCUUACAUUGGGGGAUAGCCUUUCGAAAGGGAGAUUAAUACCGCAUAAGACAGUAGUCUGGCAUCAGACAGCUGUUAAAGGUUUAUCGAUGUAAGCUGGGCAUGCGUCCAAUUCGUUAGUUGGCGAGGUAACGGCUCACCAAGACUAUGAUUGGUAGGGGAACUGAGAGGUCAAUCCCCCACACUGGCACUGAGAUACGGGCCAGACUCCUACGGGAGGCAGCAGUAGGGAAUAUUGGGCAAUGGACGCAAGUCUGACCCAGCCAUGCCGCGUGCAGGAAGAAGGCGUUAUGCGUUGUAAACUGCUUUUAUACAGGAAGAAACGACUCUUGCGAGAGGCAUUGACGGUACUGUAUGAAUAAGCACCGGCUAACUCCGUGCCAGCAGCCGCAGUAAAAC
rnacentral:rRNA from 1 species